rnacentral:lncRNA from 1 species
AGGAUUAUGCGUUUCAGUUUACUUGGAUGCAUCCGAUCAGAAAUUCCCAAUUUGUUCUCAAAACAACAACAAAAAACGAUUGAACUCCAUUUGGGCAAUUGGAAUAUCGGCUUUUAUAAUCUUGAUCGGAGCUGCUCUGUAUUUACGACGACGUUUGAGCAGAGAAAAAUCCGUAAUGGAACAAGACGAAACAUUAUCAUCUUCGUUCUUCUCAUACGAUGUGAAAAGCUUCCACCGAAUCAGCUUCGACCCAAGAGAGAUAAUCGAAUCAAUGGUGGAUAAGAACAUCGUGGGGCAUGGUGGCUCCGGUACGGUGUACAAAAUUGAACUAAGCAGUGGAGAAAUGGUAGCCGUUAAAAGACUAUGGAGUCGAAAGGGGAAAGACACGUCUUCGGAUCAAGAACAGUUGUAUUUGGAUAAAGAAUUGAAAACAGAAGUUGAAACAUUGGGAAGUAUAAGGCACAAAAACAUAGUGAAAUUAUAUUGCUAUUUCUCAAGUUUGGAUUGCAGUCUUUUGGUUUAUGAGUAUAUGCCAAAUGGGAAUUUAUGGGAUGCUUUACAUAAGGGUUGGAUUCAUUUGGAUUGGCCAACUAGACAUCAAAUUGCUUUAGGCAUAGCUCAAGGAUUGGCUUAUCUUCAUCAUGAUUUGUUGCCUUCUAUCAUUCACAGAGACAUUAAAACAACUAAUAUUCUGUUGGAUGUUAAUUAUCAUCCUAAGGUUGCAGAUUUUGGCAUUGCUAAGGUUUUGCAAGCUAGAACUGGCAAGGAUUCCACCACCACCGUCAUUGCCGGAACUUAUGGCUAUCUCGCUCCGGGUAUACAUCUCUUCUCUUUAAUGAACUACUCAUAAUACUUUUGAUGUAUUCUACGUAGCGGCUAUGCACUCAUCGUUUUGAAGCUCACAAACUAGAUAAUGUAUGUAGUUGACGAUGCAUCUAAGUAUUUCUUCUUCUUUUCUUUUUAAUGAAUAUGUUUAAACUACAAGUUUACUUAGUACACAUCUCUUAGUACUAUCACUUGAAUGAGUAAUACUUUGAUGCAUCUUAGAAUGACACCUAUUUUUGUGGUAAGUUUACACAAAAAAUGACACACAAUAAAUUGUGGAUAGGUGGACGACAACUAGGUCGAGUGUUUGUUUCAAUGAAUGUGUUAGAUUACAAGUUCAAAAAGACUUUAAAAGUGCUUGAUAAGUAGUCAACGACCCUCUUAAGUUAUGUGGUUAGUAUGUCUUUAAAAUCUUUGUUUAAUGAUUGGGUGACUAAUAAUGUAUGUUUGUUUGUUUUGUUUUGAAUUUAAACAGAGUAUGCAUAUUCAUCGAAGGCUACAACAAAGUGUGACGUGUAUAGCUUUGGGAUCGUGUUGAUGGAGUUGAUAACGGGGAAGAAGCCGGUGGAGGCGGAGUUUGGAGAGAACAAGAACAUCAUAUAUUGGGUAUCAAACAAAGUAGACACAAAGGAAGGAGCAAUGGAAGUGUUAGACAAAAGGGUUUCAUGUUCAUUCAAAGAUGAGAUGAUUGAAGUUCUAAGGAUUGCAAUUCGUUGUACAUACAAGAAUCCAGCCCUUAGACCCACCAUGAAAGAAGUGGUUCAACUAUUGAUUGAAGCUGACCCUUGCAAAUUCGAUUCCCAUAACAAAUCCUCCAAACACACCACCACCAAAAUCAACAACCCAUUUGACCUAUGAGAGAUCUACACCCUCCUUUUUCCUUAACCAAACCCUACUAAUUAAUCUUCAACUCAAUGCUAUAUACCAUCUUUAUAUUUAUACAUACAUAUAUAUAUAUAUGCCCCAAACUCGUGUAGAUAUUCUAUGUCUUAUGUUUGCUAUCACUUUUAAGUUCAUUUAAUAUGACUGUUAUCAAUAUUAUUCUUAACUCGUAAGUAUAUAGUUAAAGUGUAACCUAACAUCUAAUCUUAAAAGAUAAAAAGGAAAAAAAGCAUUGAAUUUUGGAGAUGAAAAAGUUUGAAUGAGAGUGAUUAAUUGUCUCGUAGCUAGCUAGGUGAUGGAAAGAAUAGUCAUGUGUAUAUAAUGUUUAAUAUUAUAUUAACAAUUUUGAUAAACUUUUUGUCUUGUAUUAUACUUUUUGUGGUUAGAAAAUAUUAGUGAGAGUUACGUAGGACUAGAAUAAAUAGAAUUAAGAAAGGGUUGAUGUCAAAAUUUGGACAGAAAAAACAUACUCAAUCUUUACAUGCACGACAGUAAAACAGUUAAAUAUAAGGAUUAAAUCUUGGUUUAGAUUAUCACUAGGGUUUAUAGACUAAUUUGAGCUCGAGUCUACUUUAUCUUCAACUUAUUAACUUAUUUGAUCACAAGGUCGAAAUUUAUCGAGAAAGAGGUAAACCAUUUGAAAAUGGACUUUAGUAUAUAUAUAUAUGAUCAAUGUGUGUAGAGAUGUAAGAGAAGUAUAUAGAGAUUGUUUUGGUAAAAUAUGGAAUGACAAAUAUUGCAUUGAUCCAAGUGGGUUCCUGAUUCUGAAUUAAUAUAAUUGAAGGCAUGAUUCCAAAUUCUAUUGAAAGCCCCACACCCACUUCUAACCAAAAGAAAAACCCUUUACUUAUCUAAUGGAAACUAUUGAUUGAUUUAGGCAUCUUUAUUCUUUUUUAAUUUUCUCUCCAUUAACUUAGCCCACAUUCAAGAAUAAAGCACUUUAAUACACAUUUAUUUAUAGGCUAUAUUAUUGGUGUUUAGGAUGGGAGAAAGAAAAAUCCCAACAUUAUUGUAUUCAUCUUACUUCACCACAUGUUCAUAUACACAUGUGUUCAUAUAAAUAUAUUACAUUUAGGUGCAUAUAAACAUUGUUACUAUCGAUUUUUUACUAUAAUAAAAGUUAGAGUAUUCAAUCUAUAUAUAAAUCUAAUUAAGAUUUAGGGUUUAGGGUUUAGGGUUUUAGUUGAAUAUUUAUGUUUAUGUUGAGAGAUUUGUAUAUUGAAUUAAACUAUGUAAAUAUUAUAGAUAUAUUUAUAAAAAUAAAAAAUCCUACUACCAUACCAAAGUUGUUAUGUUUAAUUAAAAUUAUCUCAGUUUGAAGUGAGUUAUAAAUAUGUUAAAAUAAAUGUAUUAAACUAAAAUGGAAUAGCAUGGAUUAUUUAUUAUAAUAGUGUUUGAGUGUAAUUUUGGAUCUUGAAAACAUAACGUUUAGCAAAAAAAAAUCAAGAAUUUUUUUGUAUUAAUAUGAAAUAUUCGAUAUUUUUAGUAUAUGAUUGCGACUAAUUUCUUUAUAAAAAAACGAACAAUCGAUAACUAUUAGUUAAAAUAAUAAAAAAAAAACUUUUAAAAAUUUCUUUUUCUUAGUUAAUUUAACUCUCCUACCUUAAAAAGUAUAUAAUAAAACAAAAAAAAUUAUAUACGAAAAAUUAAACCUAAUGAGACAUUUUCUUAGUUUUUUUUUUAUAUAAAUUGUUUACACAUUAUCAAAAAGUAAACAACAAAACAACAUUGAACGAUUAUCAAAGGAUGUCUUAAAAUAUUAUGAUUUAAGGUGACACUAAAGAUCGAAAGAUAAAAAAUGAGUGAAUUACACGUGGGUUCUUUUUAUUUCAAUCUUUUUAACUAUGCAAACACAACACAAACAGGAAUGAGAUUCAAAAUGACCAACAUCACUUCAAUUUUGGUGGAGAAGCCAUAAACCAAAGUGGUGGAACCCUAACCCUACUCUUUCCCCAAUUGCCUAUAUCAUAAGAAAUUCAUCUUUUUUUAGAAAUAGGAAUAAUAAUACUUCCUUUUUCCAAAGAUAAGACAAGACCAAACCCAAAGAGCAUCGAACUAUUACAUUACAAUUCAUCUUUCUUCCCUUUCUCAUCUCUUUCCUUUUCUUACCUAUGUUCGGAUCAUUUCGACUAUAAACGUACCUAAAGAUUAAUAGAAAUUUUGUUUACAAAUAAAAACAAAAUACAAUCAUUCGUAUUAAAAGUUUUGUGGGAUUACUUGAAUGGGUAUAAAAAGAAAACAAUAACAUCUUCCCUUUCAUCUAGCUUUGUGAGAAAGUUAUGGCAACGUCGUCCAAAUGUACAAAACUAUUCUAUCUUUCUUUAUCAAUUUUGUUCUUAUUCGUUUGUAAAUCUUUCUACUCGUUUAAAAGAAAAUGCAAAACUUAAAAAGAAAACAAAGAAAAGGCAGAAGCAUAUUCAUUCUUUAUUUUUAUUUUGUAAAAGGAUGAACAAUUGGAAGAGCAACAUUGGCAAUAAAGAAUGAAUUAACCAAUGAAAAGGAGAGUAUCUAAUCAUAGCUUUCACUUUGAGGGAUUAGAAAUGAUAGCAAUUGGGUUUAUGGCUAUGGACGCUGGUUGGGAUUUUACUGUUUUAGUGAAUGGGGAUUCCAUUUUUUGUAUUUGUUUACUUUUAUAAUCCCACUUUACUUACUACUUCAAAUUGUAUUUAAUUUAUUUUUUAAACGUUAUUGUAAAUGAUAAAAUUGUUUUAAAAAAUAUAAAAGAAUUUUAGUUUCUAUCCACGAUCGAUAUUGGUAUGAACUUCGAUAGGUGUUUUUCAAUGUACAAAAGAUUGGGUAAGAAGAGAGAAAUGGAAAUUUUUCAAUGUACAAAAGAUCAAAGACAAAAUUGAUAUUUUUAAAUGUGUAUUUUUUUUUUUUUUUUUUGAUUAAGAAAAGAGAAAGAAAGUGUAUAUAUGUUUACAUAAAUUAAAUAUGAUAAAAUGUAUUGGAUGAUUAAGGAGAAAACAAAACAAUAGUAAAACCAUGCUCAACAAGCGCCCUAUACUCGCUAGAAAACGAGCCGAAGAAUUAUUGUGGCUCCACCAUGCAUACAUUAGGAGAAAGAAAAUGCAUUCAAAUCAUGCACAAGUGACACGAUUUCCUUAAUGAAAAAGGAAACCUUUAAGAGAUCCAAAGAAUACCCAUUGAUAAGAUAUCACCUCCAAAAAUUUUGAUCAACCUAAAUGUACUUAGGCAUGGGAGCAGUUUGAAUACAUAAUAGCUUCUCCCAAAUAGUCAUAGCUUCAAAAACGUUGACCUUAGAGCACAUCUAGGGAUGAAUUAAGUAAAUGAUCUUUGGAUCAACAUCCAUCCACGAUCCAAUUACAUCGCUAAACUGAUUAACAAGACUUCAUGCAUUAUCUGUAUUCAAUCUCCACCAGCCUAAGAUUCUUACCUUUCAAAGCUAUCUCACAAUAAUCACGAUCUUAAUUAUACAACUCUUGGAUAAAACCUCAGCCGAGGAUCCCACCACCGUUAUUUUAACUUUAAUCCCAUUAAUAUAUACAUGAGAUGAGAUUUAAACUUGCAACUACCUUAUACCCUUCAUAAUAGCUUCACAUGAUUCAUAGACUCAUUUAAAGUAAAACUUAAUGGAAGGUAUGUUAAACUAUCAUGCUAAAUAAAUUCGGAUGAUAUAUGAUCUAUUUUAAAUUAUCGUAUAAAAUAUACUAUUAAUAUUACUUCUAUUUGUGAUAUUUAUUACUUGUCCGAUUUUGUCAGUUCAAAUAAGUUUAUCAAAUAAUGUUAUAGAUAUGGAGAUUAAAAAUGUUUAUUUUUAGAAUUCAUAGACCAAAAAAACACAUAUUAAAAAAUUUAUAAAUUAAAAAGACAUUGAUAAAUGUGUAUAAUUAAUAAAAUCGUUACAUUUGAAAAUAAUUAAUUACAUGAGAUUAAUUGAACUUAAGAAAACGCAGCCGUUUCAACUCCCAACAAGAACGUCGGUGCUCGAGCCAUGAGCCCCACGUGCCCGAAACAAAGGUCAUUGGGCCAACUACGCGGCCCAACAUAAUACGUAACAAAAUAAAGUAUAUAUCAUGAUUGCUUGAAUUUUAUUACCCAUCUUUUUAUUUACCAAAAUAAUAUCAUUACAAUCAUUUUAUUUUUAUUUUUAAAAUUUGAGGUUACAAAAACUAAUUAUGAUUUCUUUUAUCUAAUUUUUUUUUUUAUGGUUUUCUAUGGAAACUACGUUAGUUUUGAAAAUUAACACCGCUGGCUUCUGAGUUUGAAAUGUAAAUAAAACAAAUAAAUAUUUAAUUAGAAAGAAAGAAAAUAUAUUCUUUUUUAAGAACAAAUUUGUAUGAAGUUUAUAUUCUAGGUGAUACAUACAUCAAUCUUAUAUUAAUGAGUAAUAAUUGCCAAUAAUUUAUUUUAGUACAAUUAUUAUUCUUUUUGUAUAAUAUAUAUAUAUAUUCUAAUUUAUUGUGACAUUUAUGAUAAUAUUUUAAUCCGUAAAAUAACUUUUUUUUGGGGGGGGACUAUUGUAUUUAGUUCCAAACUUUUGAAUGAUGCAUGCAUUUCGUUAUUGAAUUAAAAAGUAUACAAUUUUAAUCUUCAAAUUUAUAAAAACUUACUGUGGUUUCUAAAUUUCUAAAUUUUAACUUCUUAAAUUUUUAAAAAGUAGAUUUAAAAGAUUUUGGAGUAGCUUUUGUUUGAUUUUUAAAAAAUGAUUAUAAGAUGUUUCAAAUUAAGAAAAAUGUUAUGCGAUUGUUUAAAAUAAUAUUAUAAAUUUAUUUGAGAAACGUUUUAAAGAGUUCGUUAAUUAAAAAAUACAUUUUAAAAAUUCAUGGUUCGAAUAAAUUUAUUGUUAUAAAUUAAGUGUACAUAUUUAAAAUUUAGGGAUCAAAGGCCUACAUUAUUAAAAAACUAAGAGUAGUUUUCACUUUCUUUCUUUUAACCAAUUUAGUCACUUAUUUUAGUUUGUAUUAAUUUUGUCCUUGUGUUUGAUAUGUUUUUUAAACUUUCUAACGUAACGACUUAACGACUUAGUAUCUACUCUUUAAAAUGUGUCACGAAUUAGUCUAUGUAAUAUAAAAUGGUAAGAAUCAAUGUAAUUUAUUGAAUAUACAAAUUAAUAAAUUUAUUAUGAAUCAAAUAUGUUUAAAAUUUACAAAAACUACUUAAGUCCAUAAUAAAAAUCGACACUUAGGAUAGGUUUGAUUUAACAUUUUGAAUGGUUGGUUUUUUAAAUGGUAAGACUAUAAUAUAGUAAAAGAAAGAAAGAAAAAAAGGUUUAAUUAUUAUGAGUUGAAAUAGACAUUCUAUAAAUGGAAAAGUUUAUGAAGAAAGAGGAAGAAGGCAUGAAGUGGAAAUUUAAAUGUAAGUUAAAAUAAACAAUGGAGAGAUGAAUGAAUGAAAAGACAAAAUAGAGGAAGAAAGAGGGAAAAGUAGGUGAAGGAUAAUAAUAACAAGUAAAAAGGAAUUUUAUUUUAAAUAUUUACUAUUAAACUAUUUAUAACAAAACCAUUUAAUUUUUUUUUGUACCAACUCUAAAUAUUUUAUUAUAAUAAAAUAUUUUACUUUUAAAUUUUUAUUUAGAUCUUAAGAUAUCUAAACAAUUUUUAAAAAUAGAAUCCAAAUUAUCUACCCAUUACCAAUGGAAACAAACUCUAAAUUUGUAAGAUGAUCCCUACACUUUUAAAAGAUGGUUGUGUAAUACGUCUGCAAAAUUUCAAAUUGGGUGUGUAUAUAUAAUAAAUUCAUAAAUUUAAAUUCUAUAUGCAAAGGGGAAAAAUGUAUAAAAAUAAUUUUGGAGGCAUUAAAUAAAAGAGUUUGAAAUGGAGAUAGUUGAAUAAAAAGAGAGUUAGAGGAAGUGGUUAUGGGCAUAUAAAUGCAAAAGAAUAAUGAAGGGAGGGGGUAAUGUUGUAGUAAAGAACAAAGAUUUUGCCUAAAAAGGGCCUAUAAAUCCUAAAAACCCAAACCAACCACACCUUUGUUAUUAUCAUCACAAUGCAUAAUAUAGAAUAACAUUGCAAAAAGUAAAAUAAACAAAUAAAAUUAUGAAAAUGAAAAGACAAUUUAAUGAAAUUUAUUUUGAUGAUUUCUUCCUAGUACUGUCUGCUUCUGUUUGUGAUCCCAAAAUUGAAAUUGCCCCCACACACACUUAUAGAGGUGUCAGCUUAGGGCAUCAUCUAUACACAACCCUUCAUUCUCUUAUCACUUUCCUCCUUUUUCCACAACUUUCACUCCUUUCUCUUAUCUUCCUUUCACCCUCCCUUCUACUAAAUAUUCUCAACCCUUUUCCUUUAGUUUGAUUUACGUAAAUGUAUGUUUUGUUGCAAAAUAUAUAUAUACAUGGUUUAAUUACUAACCGUCUUAGUUAUGUCUACAAGACAAAGCGAAAACAAUAAUGUUAUUAUUAACUAUAAUAGAGAAUGGUUCAUAGUACAAAUAGUGCACCUUAACCAUUAGGGUUGUAUAAUUUUAUAAUUUUCACGAGUUGUUUACUUUUUUAAAAGAAAAUUGUCAAAAACUAAAGUCGUGCGUAAUUAUAACUAUUUAGAUUUGUAAUAAUUUGGAGAUUUUAGGUGUCAAACUUAAUCGUUUAUCCAACGAGCAUUUAACUCAUAUGGUGUUUAAAUGUACUAGCUAGUAAUUACAAAGAUUGUGAUUCGAAACGGUAUACUUCAUUGAAUUUUUAUACGAUGGUACGAUAACAUUUAUUAUUAUAAUUUUUAUUUGUUAAAAUUAAAUUAACUUUCACAUCUUAAUUUUUCUUUAAUUAAUUUUAGACGGAUGGUUUUGAAAUUUUAUUAAUGUUUUUGAAUAAUAAAAAAGGGAUUUAGAAUUUGAUUAAUAUAUAUAUAUAUAUAUAUAUUAUUUUAUUUUAUACAUUUGAAUCUUUUUUCUUGAAAUAGUCAAAUAAGUGACAAAUUUUCAUAUAUAAAAAUUGAUACUCCCAAUGAUAAUUAAAAAAUGUAUAUGUAUUAAAGAACUAAAUAAAACAAAAAUGUAAUACUUUGAUACAUCAUCUAUCUUCAUUUUUAUGCAUCUAUUUUCAUCACUAACAUUAUAAAAAAAUCAAACAAAAAUUUACGACAUGAUAAAUUAUGAUUAAACAAUUUGAUAAAAUAUGUUUGAAAUAUGGAGUACGAAAAUUUAAUCUUUGUGACCGGAUGGCAUCAUUUCCAUGUACCAACUAAUUGGUCACCAACCCAACAUCUUUCACUAUCUUCCAUGUAUUUUACAAUAAAAUCCCCAUCCCCAAAAACCAUAUCUUUUCAUUUUUUUCCUCCCCAAUAUUAAAUAAAAUAUCCUUUCCCCCCUCCCUCUCCUUUUUUAAUUAGUAAUUAGUGAUUUAAUUUCUUAUACUUCAAAAAGUGGUUCAUUAAUAAUAUAACUUCUUUUUAUUCGUUCCUAAUAAUAAAAAAAGGUUUAAAGUGUAAUAAAUAAGACAUUAAUAGGUUUGGGUAACAAUAAAUAUAUUGUUAGUUGAGAAUUAUAACAAUUGCAAAAGAAAGUAACAAACCUUUUAUUUAGACAUUAUUAAUGAGUAAAAAUGAAAAACAUUUUGAAAUAUAUAACAAUAAACAGAAAUACUAAUAAAAUAUAACAAAAAUAUAUGUGGAUUGAAAUAUAUGUGGAUUGAAAUAUAUGUUUAUGAUAUAUAUAUUUUUUAAUUAAAGAAAAUGAAUGCAAUAUGAAUUAUUUUGUAUUAAUAUGUACAAAUUGUAGGGAAAUCCUACAUCAUAGCAAAAGUCAAAAUGCAAGCUGUGAUGAUGGGUGGGAUGUGCUUAUGGGUGCACCACUCUAAACUUUGAUUUUUUGUUUUUUGUUUUUCUAAUUUGUUUAGGAAAUUUCUAUGAAAACAAGAAAUUGGUAUUUUAUUUUUGUAAAAAGAUGUUAAAUUAUUAAUGGGGUUGAAUGGAAUGGGCAGGGAAAUUGAAAGCGAUUAGCGAGAGAGCGAGAGAGAGAGAGAGAGAGAGAGAGGAGAGAAAGGGACAGAGACAAAAAGGGGGAGCUGUUAUUGCAAAACAAGAACAGAGAGUGUUGAAAAUGGCGUUUCACCGGCCAAAGAGCUGAAAAAUCUCUCAUUAAAACUACCCUUCUUUUUCUUUUUCUUUUUUCCUAAAUAAGAUGAACUUUUAGACAAAACCCACAUUUCUUCUUCUUCUUAAUCUUCGCUUCCUUCCUUGCUUCCCAGAAAACCAGGCAACUUCCUUCCUGUUUCAUCUUUCACUCUGUUUUCUUCAAUGGCUGCGAUGGAUUGCAGGUUUUUCUCUUCCACAUUAUGCAAUCACCAAGCUAACCUUGGUCCCCAACAGGUAACUUCUCACUCCGCCUUUGUAAAUCGAAGGUCGUUUUCGGGCAUUUACAGAUAGUUGCAGUACAAUGUAGCUUCUCUCUGUUUAAUCCUCUCAUUGCGUCGAAAAAGGCAGACAGGAUGGAGCCAGGCAAACAAUACCGUAUAUAUAAAAAUAGUUUCUUCUUCGUCUCUCCCGAAAAGAACACAAAAACAUUCGUACCCCUUUUGGACUUAUUGUUCUUUUUUUGAGGGGGGGUUUUCUGGGGUUUCCCUUGAGUUUUAAACGAGGAUGAACAGCAUACCUUUCUUCAUCCUUAAUGGGUUUUUUUUCCGAAUGCCCGAUUUUCAGCUCAAUGGGUGAGAAGCAUUUUGAUGAUAUUCCAAAUGUAUUUAUCCAGAUAAUGAUGAGGAUGAUGUAUGCUUUUCCAAAUUUUCAUUUAUUGGGUUCUUUUUUCUUUUCCCCCUUCAUCAAUUAAUAGAAGCAUAUGUUCAUUUCAUUCUCUUCUUUUACCCUUCUCCUCUUCAUUUAUUCCUGUUUUGUGUUUUGUCUUCCCUUCUUUUGGUAACUUCUAUGUUUGUUCUUUGUGUUUGUUUUGACCGUCCAUAGUGUAUUAUUGGAUGGCAAUGUUCAAUACUAUUUGUUGCUAAUAAGGGACUUUUGAAUCCAAGAUUUAGAAGAGGACAAAAUAUAUUUCUCAUUUUACAGUAGUUGUAGGUAGCAUUGGAGUUGAUGUUACUGUCACAAUUUGUUUUGUAGAGAAUAUAUUGGGAGAAAGGUUAUCUUCAGUUGUUUUGACUUGCUUGCUCACAUCGUUCAUUUACAAUGAUUUUGUUUUUAGUCAACAGAUGAACUAAAUAGGUAAGAACAAUGUGGAAAUGAAUUAUGAACUUGUCGUUGCUGGCAAGGCUUUGGUAUGUUGAUUUCUAAAAGUUUGUUUACCCAGUAUGCAGGGUAUGACUACGAUAAUUCUGAGGCAUUAAUUGAUAUUAAAUAGAGUAGACGUUACAAUCUAUGUAUGAUUUUGACACAUAACUAGAGAUUUACGAGUUUAUAUUUGCAGAAUCACAAAGUAGAAAUAAAGGUUUCUUGUCCUGUGAUUUUAGUUGUUUGACAAAUCUCUCCUAAAACCAAUUUCACGACAGUUCAAAUCCAUCCAUUUGUCUGUUAGAAUAUGUUCUAGCUUGAUAGCUUUUGAAGGUUAUGCUUUGGUGAAUAGAAUACUCUUGAUUGACAACAACUGGAUCCGGCUGAUUUUUUUCUUCUUCUCAUGUUCCAAUUCCAAUAUGCAAUGGAUUAAUGUCUUUGUCUCCAUGUACCAGUCUGCUUCUUUGAACAAAAUGCAAUUCUCUCCGCUCUGCUUUCUUAAGCAAUUUUGUUACUUGGAACUUGAUCCUUGAUACUCCUAUUGUUCAGAGGACAUAUAUUCCUUUUGAAUUUCCCUUCCAAAACUAGAAAAAUGAGUUUGAAUUUCUAUGUGUUUUAUCCUUAGCAUGAUUUGUUAUGUAGCUGUCUGUGCACGUUGUCCUAGCAUCGUAUACUCCAUUGAGUAAUUUCUGAUGCUUAUUAUAUGGUAUUUGUUCUUAUGGCUGGGAGCUCUUGAUUUUAUAGCUGAGCUCAUCUUUAACUUUCUUCUGUUGAAACCUACCGUACAAUUUUGUCUCGAGGAAAUGGCCCCCCUCAUGUUAGAGAAAGUUCUCAAAUAAAAUUCCGUCCACACGUACCCCAUUCAGGCAUAUGAAUAUUGUCAAGCCUUCCUGAACAAUACUGAAGCUUAUCCUUUAUGACACAGAUACUUCGGUCAAUUGUUGAACAUGGCAUUUUUUAAAUUUCAUUUACCUGAUAUUUGAAUGUCAAGGUGAAUUGAAGGAAGUAAAGAUGUAGUAGGUAAUUAAUCUUACACGUCCCUAUAUGAAAACAGUUCUCUUCUCGUCCUUGUUAAAUCAAAUGUGUUAAUCAUGAAUAAUUUUUAUUGUUGUUUUAGAUUCCAGUCUCUGAGGCAGGCUGUAGGAUGUGACAAUUUACAAUCAAUGCAUGAGACUGAUUUUUAAUAAACUCAUGGUUUUGGAAAUGGUGGGGCAUUUGUGUGUUCUUUUGUUUGUUACCCAAUUGCAUUUGUAAUAGUAAUUCGAACAAGGAGAACAUGUGUUGAGAUAAAAGAAAAUACAUGAAUUUAAUCUCUUAAUUUAGUUCAUUUAGAAACCAUCAUGAAUUGACCUAGUUAUAAAAAGAUAGACAUAGUUUCAAUAAUUAACUAAAAAAUCAUAGGUUCAGUAGAAAUUAAUUUAUUACAAUUCUUCAAUAUAAAAAAGUCAGUUCAUUAGGACACAGGCGUCUUCCUUGAAAAUACAUGGAAAACACUCCAUUUCUAGAUAUGUUUCAAUGGCCAUUUUUGUGUAGAUUGUAGAGUACCACAUUGAUCUCUGAGAUUUAGCUCGGUUAUUGCCUCUGAUGGAACUAUAUAUUUUUUUCUCUAUCUAAUCCUUUGUAAUAUACUCAUACAAUACAUAAAAAUAGGAAUUUUCGUUAAAAUACUGUGGGGGGGAAAUGUAUUGAAUGGGAUUUGAUGUGCAGCAUAUGGUAUAAACUUGGAUUCCCUGUCAUCUUGUAUACAAACUUCUUUACCUGUUGGAUCAGGAUGGAAGGAGUAAGAGAUGUGCAGAGGUGUAGGGUCCCAUGCCUGUCAUGUAGAGUGUUUUCAAUGUGAUUUGUGGUGAAGUAGCAUGUAGAAGGAAUGAAGGGUUACCUUACCAGUUAGCUGUUAUAAAGAAGUAAGAAACAGAAGGCUGUGGUGAAUGGAGCUGGAAAAACAAGUAAAAUAUUAUAUAAAGUGUAUAAAUCAGAAUUAUUUAUAAGCGUAAUGAUGAGGAUAUCAAAGUUGAUGGAGUAAAUGUUUAGCAGGGCAAUGAGUUGAGAGAGAAGAAGAAGAGGAAAAGAGAAAUGUUGGUGGUUGGGAUAGAAGUAGAAUUGUGGUAAGAGUGUAAUGUGAUGGGGUCCAAAGAGAAAAGUAUAGGACAGGGAGUUUAAUAGAGUAAAAGUGAAGGGUCUAUGUUUUUUUUUUUUUCCACACUUUUUCAUUGAAUGUGUUUAUGUGUUUAGUGUUGUAAGAGAAGAAGAAGAAGAAGAAAGAGACAGAGGGGGGCAGGGAGAAACAGAGAAGCAGAGUCUCCUUUUGGGUUGGAAGUGUGAGUAUGAUUAGAAAAAAGCAGAGGUUGAGAUUGGGUUUGUGUGUGAAACAAGCAAGUUGGUAUUGCAUUAUUAUUAUUAUAUGAUGAAUGAAUGUGUGUAUGAAUGUAUGUAUGUAUGGUAUCAUUGAAAACCCCAACCAAUGUUAAUGGGUUGGUGGAAUUGGGGAUGCUGUUUUUUUUCAUUCAAAACCACAACUGCAACUGCGCAACAGAGAAAUGGGACACUGAGCAGAUCAGUGGGAUUUGAUGGAUGUCUGUUUAAUACUUUACCAUCUCCUCUUAUCUCAUCUCUUCCCUUCACUUUUCUCUGCCCUCUCACUGCUCCUACACUACACACUAGGCAUCUUUUUCUCUCUUUUUGCUUCAUCUUAUCUCUUCUACCAAGCCUAUGGGGGGUUUGGCCAUUGAGUGUAGUUAAUAUUUAAAGUUCCCAAGGUUUGUCUAUUUGUAGUGUAAAGUUGUAAGAUUAAGUUCAUCGAUAAUUGUGAAAAGAUAGAUUAAAAAAGUAAGACAAAGUUAUUUUGUUAAGUGUGAAAAGUAGAGAUAAAAGGGAAAACAAAGGUUUUCUUUGGUAAAUACGAAAAGUAGAAAGAAAAAAAGAUAGAUGGAGUUGGGAUUUAGGGUCAUUGGAGGUGAGCUUGAUAGAUUAAAAAACCGAGCUCAUCCAUCAAACAGUAGUAGGACGGUCAAAAGAAUAAGAUGGGUCAAUUGGUGUUGGUUUUGGAAGAUCCUAAAUUGUUAGAUUUUAAAGAUAUUUUUAAAAAGUUACACCAACCAACCAACUUUUACUCCUUGAAGAUCGGAAACAAUUUAAACAUUUACAGACUUAACCACAAUCGAUUAAGUGAUGAGUUGGUUGAAAAAUCAACUUCAAUUGACUGAUGUUUUUCCCUAAUUUACACUAAUUCAAGAAAUUGUUUGGCCAAACCACAUCUUAAAUUUAUGUUUUGGGCAAUCCAUCUACUGCCUAGGUGGGAAAUUACACCUACUUCCACCUCUGAUUCUUUUCUUUGUAACCUUUCUCUUUCAUCCUUUGUAAACUACAUCUUUCUGUACUCUCCACAUAAACUAUUGAUUAUAAUAACUAACGUUGCGUCUAAAAGAACUACCUACCUCUAUUGUCCAUAAAAUUUCAAUUACAUUUCUUUCUUAUAAUAUGAUUUUUAGUGAUGAAUGUUAAAGUAGGAUGAAAUAAUUAUUGGAAUUCCUAUUAGCUCUUAGAACAGUAAAACUAAAACAAUUAUUUUAGUUAUAAUCAUUUUCAAGUAUAUCGCAAUGUCAGUUUAUCAGUAGCAAGUUUUACCUUUUACUAACAGAAAAAAAAAAAAAAAAACUUUGUGCUGAGAAAUAAUUGAAAAUAUCAAAUUUGAAUACCAUUUUUUCAUAAUUUAAACAAUUUAAUGAUAAUAAGAUUUAUUUUUAUAUCAUUUAACUUCCAUUUUAAAAAAAAAAAACACAAAUGAAAUUAUUUAUAAAGGUAAACCAACGGGCCGCGUCGGUCUUCGAUUAUGGGCUCAUCUUUAAAAACUUUGGGCCAUGCGUCGAUAAGUCCUAAAGACGUCUAGCCUCUAGGUGACGUAUUAGAUUUUUUUUUUUAAUUAAAAUUUUAUUACUUAUAAUUUGAAUAAAGUUAGAAUUUAAGAAAUUUUAAAAGAGUCGUGAAAUUUGAUUUGUAUUGAUUUUUGUUGGAGUGAUGCAAUACCUAAUAUUCAUCCUCUCAAUUUUAAAUUGUUUCGAUGGUCAACUCGAAUCGUUAUUUAAUUAGUCAUUGGCCUAUUUUAUUAUGUUUUCAAUAUGACCUAAAUUUGAUCGAGCUAAGUAAAUGGUCAACGUGCUAUGAUUUAAAUUUUGGACACAAGAUUUUAAAAUAUUGUGCAUGAAUCAAAGAUUAAACCUAACCGACUAACCCUUAAGAAAAUAAUCUUAAAAAGCGAGAUAAAGGAUGUUGAUUAUAGAUAAAAAGGCAAUACUUUUAACAGUUAGCUCGUAUUGUUUUGUGAGAUUUUAGGAGAUACUUAAUAUUCAGGUUUGUUUCACGUUACUUCACCUCUUAAAGUUUAGUAUAUUACAUUUUAGAAAACUAUAGAAUUCAUUUUAUGUGAGCUUUUUAAUACCUUGUAUAAAUGUGAGAUUUUUAUGUUUGAGAUGUGAGCGUACGUUCUCGAAGACAAACAUUAAUUAUCUUAGAUAUUUAAAUUUCAAAUAUGUAAUAUUUAUACCUAUGAUGAGACGAUGUCGGAUAUCAAAACAACGUAAGUGUAUAAAGAUUUUAUUGGUUUAAAUCCUAUUUUGAUUCUUAAACUAAAUCUGGUUAUGUUUUGGUCCAUAAACUUUUUAAUUCUUUAACGAAAUGAUGAGGUGACUUCAUCGAUGUGCUUUUUUCUCUCCUGUUCUUCCAAAAAAAAAAUUUGGGGACAGUUUGAAAUUCAUUUGAAAAAUAUUUAUCUGCAAUUUUGUAGAGUUUAUUUUAUACAUGAGUUGUAUAAUUAUUUUUAUUUUACAUUGUCAUAUGGAUGUUAAAAUCAAACGAAUAUGUCACUCUAUUUUCUUUUAUUUUUAUCAUAUUCUAAUUCUUCUAAUUUAUAUAGAAAUCUAAUUUCUUUUCCGGAGACAAAGGAUUAUGAAUCAUAUUUUCGAGAAGACGAGAAAAUGCAAUUCAAGUAUCAAGCCUAGAACAGGGAAAAUCAAUGUCAAACGAGAACUUAUAGUAGGUGGUCCGAGAAAUCUAACGAAGUUUCUUAUUUUUUUCUUAAAAGUAAAUAUUUUGUAAUCUUUCAUACUAGAAAUAUUGUCGAGAGUCUUCUAUCCUGAUUCCAAUUUGAAAAGAACAAAAAGAGUAAAAGGUGAAAGAGUCGGGGAAGCAAUGUAAGAAGAGAUUUGAGUUUUGAAGAAAAAAAUAAAAUUAAUUUUUGGGUUUAUUUGAUAAACAUGUUGAUUCUAAUUUCGUGUUGACACAAGAUAUUUAUAAAAUAAGUUAGCAAAAUUUUAGUUAUUUAUCAAUUUAUGUAAUAUGAUCGAUGAACCUAAAGUUUAACCAUCCAAAUUAAAAGUUAAAACGGAUGUUUUUUAAAAUUUAAGAACAAAAAAAUAUAUAUACCAAAAUUGAAUUUAAACCUAUUUUAAUUUAUUAUUUCCACUUCCACACCACAAUUUUCCAAUUAAAAUUCCGCCCACCAAAGCAUAUGAAUUGGAAUUUGGAAUUUGGAAACUUUGUUAAAAGCAAAAGAAAAAGAAGGAUUCGGAAAAAAAAAAAAAAAAAAACACUUUUAAUUGUGACCUAAAUUUAAUUUUGGGAAUUGGAUUUUGAAGAAAUAAUUUAUCAACACAAUAAAAAUUAUAUAUUAGAAUAAUUUAUCAUUUAUUUCAUAAUUUAACAUCAUAUAUUAAUUUAUUUAGUGUUACUAUCAUAAUUACAAGUAAUGAAUAAUGGAGAUUAUGUACAAAUAAUUCUCUAUAAUAUAUAUAAUAUAUUGUAAGAUUUGAAUUUUGUUGGAUGAUGUAAAUUUAUUGCAUCAUAACAAAAUUAAAAGUGUAUAGUUUUGAUAAUGAUUUUGAAAUUAAAGAAGAAAAAGAAAAACUUUUAAAGGUUCUUAAUUACUUUUAAGUAAGGAAACAAAAAUAUUUUUUAUCUCUUGUUUUAGAUCUCAUGACUUUUUAAGAUCUUACAACUAAUGUAAUAUAUUUGGAAUAAAAUGAGGUUAAGAUUCUUUUCGUAAUGAAAUUAUAUUUAGAUGGUUUUAAAAUAUCAAACUUAUAAUUGAAAAGUUCAAAAACUUAUUCGAUACUUGUUACUGUGUUUACCAGAAUCAAAUGAACACAUAACGUAAAAGUUCAUAUACAAAAAUUAUUGGAAUUGUUCGAUGAUAACGUGCCACUCGCAUAUUCGAUCCCUAUGUUAUUGGAAGAUAUAUAUUAAGGUUUGAUGAUUAUAAUUUUUCCUUUCAUUUUCUGCCUUUUAAUUUCUAUAUUAUUGUUAUAUACACGUGUUAGAUUAUUUGACAAAUAUUAAAUUAGUUUUAUUUUUUAUUUAAUGAUAGAUAAAAGAUUUUUCUUAAAUAUCUCUUUAAUGAAAAAGAUAAAAGAUAUUUCUCAUAUUUGGGAAUACUUUAUUGUAAAAAGUUAUUCUUUACUGGCUCUUUAAAAAGGAGAAGUUUAUUCUUCACAGUUAAGUUUAUAUUUUUGGUGAAGAAUCUGUACGAAGGUAAACUGGUUACUUUUUGCAUUUUGACAAAUUAUUGAAGAUCGAUAAAGGAUUUGACAAAGUAUCGAUUGAUAAGAAAUAUCAAUGAAGGCAAUUCAGGGGAGCUUGAAUUUGUCUUCGACGAGAUUCAAGUUUACCGCCAUGGAAGCCUGAGUUUAUACAUUUAAGUUAUGGUGAUAACUUGUUAAUGUAACUUUAGGGUUUAAAUUACAAACUUUUGAAUCUUACUAAUAUUUCUUAUAUGAACAAAAAAUAUUUAUGUAUGUAUGUCGUAUUUGUCGAACUGGGUUAUCAAAAUCUUUUGUGUUAUUUAUUCAUUUUGUUACGUUUGUUGAAUUUUUACCUUAGCUAAUUAUGCGACAGAUAACUUUAGAUAUAGCUGAAGAUGAUUUUUAAUCAUAUUUCCUUUUCAAUAAAUAUAUAUAUAUAUAUAUAUAUAUAUAUAUAUAUAUAUAUAUAUAUAUAUAUAUAUAUAUAUAUAUUUUUUUUUUUAAUUUUGAUUUGGUUGUUUUUGUCUAUAGUCCUUGUUUUUAAUUUGAAAACAAAAAACCCAUAUUCCACUCUAAUGCAACCCAACAACGGCUAAAUGCCAAUAAAAACGGUGAUGUGGUGUUUGAAAGAGGGUGAUAUUUUUUUUUCUUAUUAUUAUAUAUAUUUUGUGUUUAUGAUUAAGAACGAUGAUCAUAUAACUCGUUUUGUAAUAUGAAUAAGAACAAUAUUCCUAUAUUGUAAGUAUGUAAUGACCAACUACAAUUCUAUUCAAGGAUAUAAAUAUAUGCAAUUUGUUUUGGAUUAAUUCAAGAAACUUAAAUAGUUUAGUUGAUGGAAAGCUUAAAUUCUUGCUUAAAUAGCUAGCACCUCACAAAAGCAUCGAUUUUCUAAACUAAAAAAACUAUAGAAAUUUUUAGUUGCACUAAAUAUUGAUUUUAAUACAACGCAAAAGGUGCUUGGAAUGGUCGCAAAAUAACCUUUAUUCAAUAACAUUAUCUACCACUAAAACAUCACAUUUAGAGACGAGUAUACUACAUCACUAUAAAAAAUAAAAAGUGACAAAACAUAUGUUACUAAAUGUAAAACAUCUAGUAACGCACAAACGUCACUAAAAUUAAAGUACCCACAAACUUUUAGUGGCGUUUUUUCUCAACGUUUUCUAUGCGUCACUAAAAACUCAAUUUCUUGUAAUGUUAGUCUUAAUCAAACUAAAAAACUUAGCUAUUUUAUUUAAAAUAUAAUCCCGUUUAAAAUUGAUGAAGGACUAAGCAAAUAAACACAAGAACAUAGGCUAAAACGUCAAAGAAAAAUACUUUAACAAAAUAAUAGCCACAUGUAAUAGUAUACAUAUUGGUCUAUGGCGAUUAAUCGUAUUAUAUUUAAAUAACUCAAUCUUUUUAUAUUAUAAACCGUUAAAGUUUGUCGUUAAAGUUGAAUUAAAUAAUGGUUAUAUUAAAUGAAUAAUAAUAUAGACAUAAAAAGGAAAAAACUUUAGAUUAGUGAAGUUGGAAAAUUAGAGGCUAAGAUAAGGCGGGUAAAAACGUGACAUUGAAGUUUGUAUUGUAAAUGGAAUAUUAUUUAUUAUGGUUUGUGAUUUGUGAAUUAAUAAAGGAAAAGAAAAGAGAGAUCAAAAGGAAAUUAAAUAUUAAAGUUAUGUGCAUGGCAUCUCUAUUUUUAUAUAAAGCAUCUUAUUAUUAAUUAAUAUUACAAAAAUGAGAUAAAUAGCUCAACUAUUUAUCCUAUUGUUUUCUUAUAUAUAAAAUGUAAUUCAAUAAUUGUAAAAAGUAAAGUUGGGAGUUGUAAAUUAAAAGUAAUUAAUAAAUGGCUCUCUAUCUAAUGAAAUGGUUGACUCCAAAUUUACCCUACUGAUCUUCAUCUCAAAUAAUAUUCAAAUUGAAACACAUUAAAUCAAUCAAUCAAUAGAAAUAUAUAAUAUUAGUACCAAAAUAAGAAAUGAAAAAGUUUGGCAUACUUUACACGUAUGAGAUCAGGUUCUCAUCAAAGAUUCUCAAUCCCAAUAUGGCCGAAACCGAAAGAACUAUGGGUAAACCCUGCACUGCAUGCCGUUCUCUCCUUUAAAGGACGCUUAUUGUUAUUAUUAUUAUACAUUCACAAAUAUUCCAUCUCCCUUUUCAUGGGAUGGAUGGAUGAUGGACUUUCCCAAAAGGAGUUCGAUUAGGAUGGAAAUUUGUAAUUAAACCAUGGAAACCUGGGGGGGUUUACGGUAUAGUUCUGCUCGAAGCACGUACAAGAGGGCAACUAGUUAUAUAUAUAACCACCCUACCUCUUCUGUUCUGAUAUGCUUUCUUCUCUUUCACCCAUUUGUGUCUAAGAUUCCCCCACUGCUGCCCCCCCGUGGGAAUCAUUAAUCAAAUCAAAGAAGAAUAAUUGGGAGAGCGUGUGAUUAUUUCAUCCCUUAUGUUAAUUAAGCCUUGGGACUGAAAGAGCUGAUUCAUGAGGUGCAACAACGACAUCAAUCACUGGGACAUCAGCUUUCAUUAAAGCCGAUGAACGUACGUCUGGCAGAGAGUACAAACUUCAAGAUAAGCAUACACAACACUGACUUCUCUACGGGGAGGAAAGGAAGGAGUUGAGUUGCCUUCAUUCUAUAUAUGCUUUUCUAAUUAACUCUUAUGUAUAUAUUAUUAAUAUUCUUCAAAUAAUUUUGCUAUAUUUUUGUAAAUAUUUGUAUAGGUUUGCUUUAAAAUUAUUGAUAUUAUUAAUAUGAGAAAGGUGAUGUAAUUAUUUGGAAAAUAGUGGAGAAAAGAUGUAGCAAAGGGACAUGGGAGUGUGCGUAGGCACGACACAUGUUUUGUGUAUAAUAUAAAAAACCAUUAUACAUUAUAUUAUUCUUUUCUUUC